GCACCUCGUAGUUGAGGGUUUGAAAACACAGGCUGUGGCCCUAAAGGUUGUGGGUUCAAAUCCCACCUUCAGCUGUA
rnacentral:tRNA from 1 species